GGGGGGGGGGGGGGGGGGGGGGGGGAGGGGGGGGUGGGGGGAAGGGGGGGGAGGCGGGGUUCUGUGAUGGUAGCGGCGGACGGGGGAGGAAAACGUGGAUGACCUAGCUGUAAGACUGGGAUAACUUCGGGAAACCGGAGCUAAUACCGGAUAAUAUUUUGAACCGCAUGGUUCAAAAGUGAAAGACGGUCUGGCUGUCACUUAUAGAUGGAUCCGCGCUGCAUUAGCUAGUUGGUAAGGUAACGGCUUACCAAGGCAACGAUGCAUAGCCGACCUGAGAGUGUGAUCGGCCACACUGGAACUGAGACACGGUCCAGACUCCUACGGGAGGCAGCAGUAGGGAAUCUUCCGCAAUGGGCGAAAGCCUGACGGAGCAACGCCGCGUGAGUUAUGAAGGUCUUCGUAUCGUAAAACUCUGUUAUUAGUGAAGAACAUAUGUGUAAGUAACUGUGCACAUCUUGACGGUACCUAAUCAGAAAGCCACGGCUAACUACGA
rnacentral:rRNA from 1 species